rnacentral:rRNA from 1 species
AACGAACGCUGGCGGCAGGCUUAACACAUGCAAGUCGAGCGGAGAUGAGGUGCUUGCACCUUAUCUUAGCGGCGGACGGGUGAGUAAUGCUUAGGAAUCCGCCUAUUAGUGGGGGACAACAUUCCGAAAGGAAUGCUAAUACCGCAUACGCCCUACGGGGGAAAGCAGGGGAUCUUCGGACCUUGCGCUAAUCGAUGAGCCUAAGUCGGAUUAGCUAGUUGGUGGGGUAAAGGCCUACCAAGGCGACGAUCUGUAGCGGGUCUGAGAGGAUGAUCCGCCACACUGGGACUGAGACACGGCCCAGACUCCUACGGGAGGCAGCAGUGGGGAAUAUUGGACAAUGGGCGGAAGCCUGAUCCAGCCAUGCCGCGUGUGUGAAGAAAGCCUUUUGGUUGUAAAGCACUUUAAGCGAGGAGGAGGCUACCUGGAUUAAUACUCUAGGAUAGUGGACGUUACUCGCAGAAUAAGCACCGGCUAACUCUGUGCCAGCCGCCGCCGUAAGAC